UACGUAGGGUGCGAGCGUUGUCCGGAAUUAUUGGGCGUAAAGAGCUCGUAGGCGGUCUGUCGCGUCGAUCGUGAAAACUUGGGGCUUAACCCUGAGCUUGCGGUCGAUACGGGCAUGACUGGAGUUCGGCAGGGGAGACUGGAAUUCCUGGUGUAGCGGUGAAAUGCGCAGAUAUCAGGAGGAACACCGGUGGCGAAGGCGGGUCUCUGGGCCAGUAACUGACGCUGAGGAGCGAAAGCGUGGGGAGCGAACAGG
rnacentral:rRNA from 1 species